rnacentral:rRNA from 1 species
GCCUAUAUACCACCGUCGUCAGCUUACCCUGUGAGGGACUCAUAGUAAGCAAAAUUGGCAUAGCCCAAAACGUCAGGUCGAGGUGUAGCGUAUGGGAAGGGAAGAAAUGGGCUACAUUCCCUAACACAGAGAAUACGAAUGAUAUACUGAAACACAUAUCUGAAGGAGGAUUUAGCAGUAAGCAAAAAAUAGAGCGUCUUGCUGAAACUGGCCCUGAAGCGCGCACACACCGCCCGUCACUCUCCCCAAGCUUAUUAACCCUUAAUACCUUAAAACCCUAAAACUGCAAAGGGGAGGCAAGUCGUAACAUGGUAAGCGUACCGGAAGGUGCCCUUGGAAAAAC